GCCGUGAUCUGCGAAUAAACACAGCCAGUAAACAAUGGAGUGGAGGCCGUGCCCACGUAUAGGCAAAGUACACACGCACCACCAAAUUGCAGAAGUGUAAACUCAGGACCUCACAGCUCUGUCAAUUUACACAGACAUUCAAUUCAUUCUAUUAAUUUUAGACAUAUAAUGUCAACAGUGACAGAGUUUGAGCUCAAAUAAAUGCCGUGAUGUCUGGAGCCCUUUGCAGAAGGCAGACGGCAGGGGCUCUCCGAUGGGCUUCCGUGGCUUGCCAACAACAAGCAUCGACUGUUUUUGCACAGAUGUGCGGGGCUUUGAUUCGAUGGAAACUUUUCAAUGGCGGCCCACCGUCUACUUUCAACACACUACUCGGACCUUAAAAGGCACUUUCCUGUUUGACGUACCUGGCUGCAAUAUGAAAUAUCAAAGCCUCUGUCAGUGUGGAGCUGAAUGGGAACAAAAGAGAGGCCUCCAUUAAUGAUUAACUGUUCUAAAAGCCCCGGCUUUUGUAUUCCCAUGGUGCCCGGGCUAUCUUGCCGCCAUGUGACAUGCUCACAGCAUUUUUCGAGCAGAUUGGGGGAAAGCUAGUGAGCAAACACAGGUGCUUUGGAGCGGCGUUGGCGAUGCUGUCAGGGACAACCACAAACAAGAGCAGCUAUGCCUGGCUAAAUGAAUCCCCGCCACACCCCCCCUUCCCCCCUCCCCCCGCCCCGCCACCACCAGCCACACACCCGACCCCCGAACGCUGCAGUGCUAGCUAACUUGUUUGCUAGCUGCCUAGCUCUCGCAUAAAGCCAAAGCCUCCCUUCUGGAGAGUCUGCCCCCUCCCCUCCUCAAACCCCGCCCCCCAGACACAGUCCAAUGUUCACUACAGCUGAGCUCCACAACUUCUCACACCCUCCAAAGAAACAAACAAAUAAACGUGAGGACUGCAGAGCACUUCUUUGAGGCGAUGGCGUUUGCUGUGAUCACGAUUAGUGGGAGAGCAAACACAUUAACGAUGUUCCGGUUUACACUUUCCAAAGCAAAAUAAAAUGUCUUUCACUUCAAGUGGGGCCAUUCUAGUGACCCCCCCAGUGACAAAUAAAGCAUAUACGGGCUGGUUGAUCUCUGCUUAAGAAUUGGAAGCUAAUAAAACACAUUUUGUGAUGGGUACCCCAUCGGUACCUCUUAGCAUGCAAAAUACUCUCAUAAAUAUCUGGAGUUUUUGUUUUUGUCCAUGUUUCUUUUGUUGGAGUUAAUGGCAAGGACAUGUGUAACUAAAGUCAACCAUCGCUUCCUACUGCCUGGCUGGCAUAAAAGCGACUAGGGGGGUGCUGCAUGUCGCACAACUUACGAUAAGACCAUCCAGAUGAUAGCCAUGCGUUAUCUUUACAUGGCUUUCCGGCCGGGAGACAAAUGAACAAAGUGUGAUAACAGGAACAAAAGCUCAGCUCUUAUUGGCUGUGGGCUUAAUAGAAAAAAAUUGUUUCAUGGAAAAACCACAAAAGGUGCAGUUCAUUUAUUUUUUAAUUUUCUCCAUUGCCAAGGUCUCACGGUUUAUCGCUUCCAAUAUUUAUAUUGACUUUGGUGGGAAAUAUGCUUUUGUGGGAUGCAAUUACCCGGACCUAUAAAGCAGUUCUUACAAGUGGAAAGACGAUAAAACGUGUUUCAGGAAAACACUUCAAAUUAACCAGAGGGGGAAAUGAAUUCAUAAAGGAGAGACAGAAAAGAGGGCAGAGAAAGCUAGAUGGGAGCGCAGCAAGACAGAGAGACAGACAUACAGACAGACAGCACAAAAGGGGGGGGGGGGGGG